CUGGCCCUGGCAGAGGGUUCCGCAGUCUCAGAGGCCGCGCAGGCCCUGACCGAGGGUCUUUUCCUCGGUGCCUAC
rnacentral:tRNA from 1 species